rnacentral:rRNA from 1 species
UACGAGCCGUCCAAACGUUAUUCGGAUUCAUUGGGCUUAAAGGGCACGUAGGCGGCUCCAUUAGUCGGGUGUGAAAGCCCUCGGCUCAACCGAGGAACUGCGCCCGAUACUGUGGUGCUUGAGGGAGACAGAGGUAAGCGGAACUGAUGGUGGAGCGGUGAAAUGCGUUGAUAUCAGCAGGAACACCGGUGGCGAAAGCGGCUUACUGGGUCUCUCCUGACGCUGAGGUACGAAAGCUAGGGGAGCGAACGGG